AACGCACAUUGCGCCCGCCAGUAUUCUGGCGGGCAUGCCUGUUCGAGCGUCAUUUCAACCCUCAAGCCCCCCCGGGGUUUGGCGUUGGGGAUCGGCACGCCCCCCCUGGCGGCGCCGGCCCCGAAAUAUAGUGGCGGUCUCGCUGUAGCCUCCUCUGCGUAGUAGCAACACCUCGCACUGGGACGCGGCGCGGCCAUGCCGUAAAACCCCUAAUUUCUGAAGGUUGACCUCGGAUCAGGUAGGAAUACCCGCUGAACUUAA
rnacentral:misc_RNA from 1 species